rnacentral:rRNA from 1 species
CCCUUAGAUGUUCUGGGCCGCACGCGCGCUACACUGAUUCAUGCAACAAGUUUUGUCCUUGGCUGAUAGGCCUGGGUAAUCUUUGAACGUGAAUCGUGAUGGGGAUAGAUGAUUGCAAUUAUUCAUCUUCAACGAGGAAUUCCUAGUAAACGCAAGUCAUCAGCUUGCAUUGAUUACGUCCCUGCCCUUUGUACACACCACCCGUCGCACCUACCGAUUGAAUGGUCCGGUGAAAUCUUCGGAUCUGAGAGAUGUCUGAUUAAUUUCGGACGCCUUUUGGAAAAGUUGUUUAAACCUUACCAUUUAGAGGAAGGUGAAGUCGUAACA